GGAAAAAUAUACCCAUCAAUUUCCUGAUACAGCACAGGGUGUUGUCAUUAUUGUUGCUAUGGUUAUGGUGAGCAUUUGGAGGAGGACUUAUUCUCCAUAUGUUCCUCCAUGCUCACAUUUCAUCUUCCUCAAGAUGUCCAGGAACACCUCAGCCUCACCUGUCAUCUAGGGGCACAGGGUCUCCUCUCUCUGAGCCUCAGGCUUCUAUGCACAAUGAAGAAUGAUGGCUGCUGCUCCAGUCCCUACGCCUGCCUGCUGCUCCCCACAGUGAUGCCGGUCGACUAUCGUCCCUCUGGAACUAUAAGCUCCAAACAAGCCCUUCCUCCUGUAGGUUGCCUUGGUCAUGGUGACCAGCAAUAGGAGAGUUUUAUCACAGCAGUAGGAAAGUAAUUAAUAUAUAAUGCAAUUAAAACUUUAAUUGA